rnacentral:rRNA from 1 species
AUUGAACGCUGGCGGCAUGCUUUACACAUGCAAGUCGAACGGCAGCGCGGGCUUCGGCCUGGCGGCGAGUGGCGAACGGGUGAGUAAUACAUCGGAACGUGCCCAGUAGUGGGGGAUAGCUCGGCGAAAGCCGGAGUAAUACCGCAUACGACCUGAGGGUGAAAGCGGGGGAUCUUCGGACCUCGCGCUAUUGGAGCGGCCGAUGGCAGAUUAGCUAGUUGGUGGGGUAAAGGCCUACCAAGGCGACGAUCUGUAGCUGGUCUGAGAGGACGACCAGCCACACUGGGACUGAGACACGGCCCAGACUCCUACGGGAGGCAGCAGUGGGGAAUUUUGGACAAUGGGCGAAAGCCUGAUCCAGCAAUGCCGCGUGUGUGAUGAAGGCCUUCGGGUUGUAAAGCACUUUUGGCGGGAACGAAAAGGACUGUGCCAAUACCACGGUUCGAUGACGGUACCCGCAGAAUAAGCACCGGCUAACUACGUG